AGACUACUAAGAUCUUGGGAAAAGCUUCAUAAUGCACUGGAAAGUGAAAAGAAAAUUUGACUAUAUUAUGUACAUGUUGUCCCAUUGUGUAACAAUAUGUGCAUAUAUGUAGAAAAACAUAAAAAAUGGUAACAGUGGUUAUCUCUUGCUAUUGGGUGAUGUUUAACUUCUUAUUUACUUGCUUCUCUAAGAAAAAUUUAAAAACAUUUUAAUAUAAACAGCUAUAUUUAUAUUUUUAAGGAUUAAAUGAAUAAUAUAUUAGAAAAUACUACAGAAAAAAAUACCACAGAAAAGUACAAAGAAGAAAAUAAAAGAGCCCUGGAAGUCUCAUUGAUAUUCCAUAGAAUAUCAAUAUUAAUAUUUACUUAUGAAUACUCAGAUUCUUCUUUAUGCAUCUAUGUGUAUAUAGAUCCAAAACAUUUCAUACAUGGGAUCAUACAAACCAAUAUUCUAGUCUUGCUUUUUAGCUCAAAUAUUUACUUUUUAAUUGAAGUAUAAUUGAAUAUAAUAUAAUUGAAUAUAACAUUCGCAUUAGUUCUUUAACUUAAGUAUUUACUUUUUAAUUGAAUAUAAUACAAUUGAAUAUAAUAUAACAUUAUAUUAGUUUCAGGUAUACAACAUAAUGAUUUGCUAUUUGUAUACAUCACAAAGUGAUCAUCACAAUAAAUCUAGUUACCAUCUGUCCUCAUACAAAGUUACCAGAAAAAUUAAGUUUUUUUCCCUUAUGAGAACUUUCAAGAUCUAUUUUCUUAACAACUUUUAAAUAUAUAAUACAAUGUUAUUGACUAUAGUCAUCAUGCUGUACCUUACAUUCCCAUGACUUAUUUAUGACUGGAAGUUUGUACCUUUGGAUCCCUUUCACCUAUUUCAGCCACACCCCAACAUCCCUCCCCACUAGCGACCACCAUUCUAUUUUCUAUAUCUUUGAGUUUUGUUUGUUCAUGUGUUAUGUUUUUAGAUUCCACAUUUAAGUGAAAUCAUAUGGUGUUUGCCUUUAUCUGACUUAUUUCACUUACCAUAUUACCCACUGGGUCCAUCCAUGUUGUUGCAAAUGGCAAGAUUUCAUUCUUUUUAUGGCAGAAUAGUAUUCCACUUUAUAUGUAUAUCACAUCUUCUUUAUCCGUUCAUCCAUUGAUAAACACUUAGGUUGUUUCCAUAUCUUAGCUAUUGUAAAUAAUGUUUCAGUGAAUGUGGGGAUGUGUAUAUCUUCAAAUUAAUGUUUUCGUUUUCUUCAGAGAAAUACCGAGAAGUGGAAUUGCUGGAUCAUAUGGUAGUUCUAUUUUUCCUUUUUGAGGAAUAAUCUGCAUGGUGGUUGUACCAAUCUACACUUCUACCAAUAGGGCACAAGUGUUCUCUAUAACCACAGCCAUGUCAGCAUUUGUUAUUUCUUAUAUUUUUGAUAAUAGCUAUUCUGACAAGUGUGAGAUUAUAUUUCAUCGUGAUUUUAAUUUGCAUCUCCCUGAUGAUUAGUGAUGUUGAGCAUCUUUUCCUGUGCCUAUUUGGCCAUGUGCAUGUCUUCCUUGGAAAAAUGUAUAUUCAGAUCCUCUGUCCAUUUGUAAUUGGAUUAUGUAUUUUUUUUUUGUUUUUGAGUUGAAUAAAUUCUUUAUAUAUUUUGGCUGUUACCCACCUCUCAGAUAUAUGCCUUGCAAAUAUAUUCUCCCACUCAGUAGGUUGCAUUUUCAUCUGUUGAUUGUUUCCUUCCCUGUGCAGAUGCUUUUUGGUUUGAUGUAGUCCCACUUAUAUAUUGUUACUUUUGUCACCACUGCCUUUGGAGUCAGAGCUGAAAAAAUAUUAUGAAGAGCAGUCUCAAGGAGCAGACCCUCUAUGAUUUCUUCUAGGACUUUUAUGGUUUCCAGUCUUCUAUGCAGGUGUAAUCCAUUUUGAGUUGGUUUUUUGUAUGGUAUAAGAUUAAUGGUCCAGUUUCAUUCUUUUGCAUGUGGCCCUCCAGUUUUCCCAACACCAUUUAUUGAAAACAUUGUACUUUCCCCAUUGUAUAUAUAUUCUUGCAUCCUUUGUUGUAAAUCAACUGAUCAUAUAUGCAUGGGUUUAUUUGUGGACUCUAUUAUUCUAAUGAUCUAUGUGUCUGUUUUUAUGCAAAUACCAUACUGUUUUGAUUACUAUUAUUUUAUAGUAUAGUUUGAAAUUUGGGAGUGUGAGCUCUCCAGCCUUGUUAUUCUUUCUCAAGAUUGUUUUGGCUAUUCAGGAUCUUUUGUGGUUCCACACAAAUUUUAGAAUUGUUUGUUCUAUUUCUGUGGAAAAAUACCAUUGGAAUUUUGAUAGGGAUUGCAGUGAAUCUACAGAUUUCAUUUGGUAAGAUGGACAUUUUAACAAUAUUAAUUCUUCCAACCCAUGAGCACAAAAUAGCUUUCCAUUUAUUAGUGUCUUCUGCAAUUUAUUUCAUCAAUGUCUCAGAGUUUUCAGAGUACAGAUCUUUUACCUCCUUGCUUAAAUUUAUUUCUAGAUAUUUUAGUCUUUUUGAUGCACUUAUAAAUGGGAUUAUUCUCUUAAAUUCUCUUUCUGAUAGUUCAUUGUUAGUAUACAAAAAUGCAGGAAUGGUGUGGAGGGUGGAGUGCUCACCUGCUGACACUUACAGGCUAGAGUAAGGAUAAAAAAACGACAUCCACGCACACCUGCAAUCAGCAAGGCAGAGGGAGAGUGUGAAGAUGGCUCCCGCCUGUGCCUCCGACCCAGAGAGAGUCCCAACAAGCUUCUGCACCGCCAGCAAGUGACUUAAGAUCCAGGACCUGCCUGCCUGUAUUCCCUUCCAGGCUGCCAAAUGCCAAGACCUGCUCCAGACGAAGGCUGCUUUGGCCAACCAAGACUCAUCUGCCCCCAGGGGGUCACAUGGCCAAGCCAGAGGAGACAGCAAGAAGCCAAAUCAACUCUGGGCCAGGUGGAUUCCCCAUUUAAGAGCCAUUGAUGCUUUGCGGUAAAGACCAGAGCGUGGAGAGAGGUGCUGGUGCCGCCCUUUCAGGAGCUACCCCUCCUGCGGUGAGUACAACCAAUUCGUGUAUGAACAGAUCAAUUUGCAUGGUAUUAGUUAUUUAUUUUAUAGUAGUUAUUCCCUCAGUCGUGGUAUGCCCUAUACCAUUAUUCGCCACUUGCCAAGUGACUUAAGAGCACGAUAGCGAUCAUUCAAAUCUAUUAAACUUUCUUUCUGAGUUUGAAAGUAAUUAGCAGCCUUCUGGCCUACGUUGCCUAGGGCAGGAUGGUGAAUAUUGAAAGAGUAAUCUUGCCAUUUGAAGUGCUUCUGGCUUGAAUAAAUGUUUGCUCAGUUGCAGCAAUGCCCAGGUAAUUCCUUGGUAAUGAAGCAGGGAUCACCUUCCAGCGCUGGGGCGCUGGGGCGAGCAGGAAAAAUUAGUAGA